UGGGGAAUCUUGGACAAUGGGGGCAACCCUGAUCCAGCCAUGCCGCGUGAGUGAUGAAGGCCUUAGGGUCGUAAAGCUCUUUCGCCUGUGAAGAUAAUGACGGUAGCAGGUAAAGAAACCCCGGCUAACUCCGUGCCAGCAGCCGCGGUAAUACGGAGGGGGUUAGCGUUGUUCGGAAUUACUGGGCGUAAAGCGCACGUAGGCGGACCAGAAAGUUGGGGGUGAAAUCCCGGGGGCUCAACCCCGGAACUGCCUCCAAAACUAUUGGUCUAGAGUUCGAGAGAGGUGAGUGGAAUUCCAAGUGUAGAGGUGAAAUUCGUAGAUAUUUGGAGGAACACCAGUGGCGAAGGCGGCUCACUGGCUCGAUACUGACGCUGAGGUGCGAAAAGUGUGGGGAGCAAAACAGGAUUAGAUACCCUGGUAGUCCACGCCGUAAAACGAUGUCUGCUAGUCGUUGGGGGGCGUAGCCCUUCAGUGACGCCGCUAACGCAUUAAGCAGACCGCCUGGGGAGUACGGCCGCAAGGUUAAAACUCAAAAGG
rnacentral:rRNA from 1 species